rnacentral:rRNA from 1 species
UACGAAGGGGGCUAGCGUUGCUCGGAAUCGACUGGGCGUAAAGGGUGCGUAGGCGGGUCUUUAAGUCAGGGGUGAAAUCCUGGAGCUCAAACCUCCAGAACUGCCUUUGAUACUGAAGAUCUUGAGUUCGGGAGAGGUGGAGUGGAACUGCGAGUGUAGAGGUGAAAUUCGUAGAUAUUCGCAAGAACACCAGUGGCGAAGGCGGACUCACUGGCCCGAGUACUGACGCUGAGGCACGAAAGCGUGGGGAGCAAACAGGG